UACGUAGGUGGCAAGCGUUGUCCGGAAUUAUUGGGCGUAAAGCGCGCGCAGGCGGUCCUUUAAGUCUGAUGUGAAAGCCCACGGCUCAACCGUGGAGGGUCAUUGGAAACUGGGGGACUUGAGUACAGAAGAGAAGAGUGGAAUUCCACGUGUAGCGGUGAAAUGCGUAGAGAUGUGGAGGAACACCAGUGGCGAAAGCGGCUCUCUGGAACGGUACUGACGCUGAGACGCGAAAGCGUGGGGAGCGAACAGG
rnacentral:rRNA from 1 species